rnacentral:rRNA from 1 species
CCGCGGUAUUUUGACCGUGCUAAGGUAGCAUAAUCAUUAGUUUUUUAAUUGAAAGCUGGAAUGAAGGGUUGAAUGAAAAAAUAACUGUCUCUAUUUAAUUAUUAUAAAAAUUUAUUUUUAAGUUCAAAAGCUUAAAUUUUAUUAAAAGACGAGAAGACCCUAUAGAGUUUUAUAAUUUUUAGUAUAAAAGAUUUGGAAUUUAUUUUUUUGUAUUUAAAAAUUAUUUGAUUGGGGUGAUUAAAAAAUUUAAUAAACUUUUUUAUUUAAUUAAUAUUAAUUAAUAAAUAUUUGAUCCAAAAAUUUUGAUUAAAAGAUUAAAUUACCUUAGGGAUAACAGCGUAAUUUUAUUAGAGAGUU